GUACACGCUGUGACUAGCAUAUCAAUAAGCGGAGGAAAAGAGGGCUAUUACCUACGCUUAGGAUGUUGACACACGCGCGUGCUCGAUGAUAGUCUAUACAUGACUCUGUGCAUAUCAAUAAGCGGAGGAAAAGAAACUAACAAGGGAUUCCCCUAGUAACGGCGAGUGAAGCGGGAAGAGCUCAAAUUUGAAAUCUUAAAGGGUUUCCCUUUACGAAUUGUAGUUUAAAGAAGUGUUUUCUGUUGAGGUUUUGGUAAAAGUUCUUUGGAAUAGGACAUCAUAGAGGGUGAGAAUCCCGUAUUUGACCAUUUACUUUCAACUUUGUGAUACACUUUCAAAGAGUCGGAUUGUUUGGGAAUGCAGUCCGAAAUGGGUGGUAAAUUUCAUCUAAAGCUAAAUAUUGGCGAGAGACCGAUAGCGAACAAGUACCGUGAGGGAAAGAUGAAAAGAACUUUGAAAAGAGAGUUAAACAGUACGUGAAAUUGUCAAAAGGGAAGCGUUUGACACCAGUGUUGUUUUUCUGAAAAUCAAUUAAAGAACUGUUUAUGCUAAGCUUGUUUAGACUUUAUCAGCUAUCUGUUUAGUUUUGAGCUUUUCUUUAAUGCACUUUUCAGUUAACAAGUCAACAUCAAUUUCUUUUGCUGUAAAAAAGCUUGAGGAAGGUGGCUUGAGAUUCGUCUUAAGUGUUUAUAGCCUCUUGCCUAUGCAGUCGGAGAGAUUGAGGUCUGCAGCGUAGAUCCUUCGGGGCUAAAUGCAUUUGUGCUAAGUUAUAGCAUUUUAUAGACAACUUGUUGACUAUGAUUUGUCUUGUAGCUUACUCGCUUAUGUUAUUUUACCUACGCUUAGGAUGUUGAGUCGUAGAGCACGCAG
rnacentral:rRNA from 1 species